UCUGAGGAGCCUGGUGCUGAUGUCACCUACAGCUCCAUUGUCCUGCGAGACCCAGAGCAGGUGUCCUCAGGAUGUUCUUCACACCGUCCUGCUGUGACCCCAGCCAGCGAAGUGAUCUACAGCUCAGUCACCCUGAAGCACAGAGAGUAGGGGGCAGCAACACAGAGAGGCUCCUCUACAUGUGGGGAGCUGCUGCUCAGGAUGAGAGCUGUGAGGGACACGCAGACACUCCAGUGAUGGGGAGGGAUCAUCACCAGAGAGGAGAAUCUUACAGUGAUGUGAGCUGUAUUUAAAUGGCAUGCAGCACUGUCAUGUUACAGUGUGACAGUAAGAAUCAGCCAGUGAGAAACAGACAUUCAUGGCUGCUGUGCAUUUGAACCAUAAUCAUGGAACUAUUUACUUACUUGUAUGUCACUUUGGACAGAACCAACUGGUAAAAAUAAUACAUGUAAAUGCAAGGUAUUAUUGUGGUGGUCUGUUA